AGCGGUCCUCCUGCCUCAGCCACCCGAAGAGCUGGGACUAUAGCAGGCUGAGCCACUCGCGCACCCGCCCCAGGCUUCCACCUUGCAACCUCUAUCCCUGGACAGCGAGGCCUCAGUUUCCCCAUUCGCACCAAUGAGCUCCCGGUCAACACCCCGUCACGCCUCAGUUUCCCGAAUGUUCCCAGAGGGCUGAGUUCCCGAUCUCUCUCCCGCGUGGGCAUCCCCGAGGCCUCAGUUUCUCCGCCCACCCCAGCGCGCCGAGCCCUUCCCCCGACCCCG
rnacentral:lncRNA from 10 species